rnacentral:tRNA from 1 species
GCAUCGGUGGUUCAGUGGUAGAAUGCUCGCCUGCCACGCGGGCGGCCAGGGUUCGAUUCCCAGCCGAUGCA